UGAGAGUUUUUGUUGUUUCCAUAGUGAGAAAGAGGCGGAUACGAGAGAUGUUUUUGAGGUGCAGGUGACAUGAGCGGGAGAGAGAUUGAAUAUAGGGGGUGAAAGAAAGAUCAGUGUCAAAAGUCACCCUGAGAUAAGAUUUAGUUUCAGAUAGAGAGAGGACAUAAUGUUAGGGACGGCAGAGAGACAGUCACUGGUGUUCUGUAAUACAGCAGGUGUGAUGUCAGGGGAUGAAGUGUAUAGUUAUGUGUCAUCAGCAUAGAGAUGGUACUGGAAGCCAAAUCUGCUGAUGGUCUGUCCAAUUGGUGCUGUGUACAGGGAGAAGAGGAGAGGGCCUAGGACUGUACCCUGAGGAACUGCAACAGCGAGUGGGAGAGAUGAGGAAGUGGAGCUAGCGAAUGAUACACUGAAAGAGCGACCAGAGAGAUGGGAAGAACACCAGGAGAGGGCGGUGUCCUUUAGGCGGAUAGAUUGGAGCAUGGCAAGCAGGAGAUGGUGGUCUACAGUGUCAAAAGCUACAGAGAGGUCAAGGAGAAUGAGGAGAGAGUAGUUACCAUUGCAUUUUGCUGUCAGGAGGUCAUUUGUCACUUUUGUGAGGGCAGUUUCUGUAGAAUGCAGGGAGUGGAAACCAGAUUGUAAUGGAUCGAGGAGAGAGUGAUCACAGAGAUAGUGGGUAAGGUGAGAGUAGACCAUACGCUCCAGGAGUUUAGAGAUGAAGGGAAGAUUGGAGACUGGUCUGUAGUUAGUUGUGCAGGAUGGGUUGAGAGAUAUUUUUUUUUAUUAAUGGAGUAAUGAUAGAGUGUUUGAAAGAGGAGGGGAAGAUACCAGAGGAGAGGGAGAGGUUGAAGAUUUUUGUUAGGUGAGUGGUGACAGCCGGAAAGAGAGACUGGAGUAGGUGUGAGGGAAUGGGAUCAGAGGCGCAAGUGGUAGGACGAGAAAAAGCCUGGAGACUUCUUCCGUGACUGGGUCAAAUGUGGACAGUGAGAUGGGGGGGGGGGGGGGUGAUGAAUAGUACUUAGUGUCUGGGAGAUGAUUUCAUGACGGAUAUGUUCUAUUUUCUCUGUGAAGUAGGCAGCUAAGUCUUCAGCAGAGAGGUCUGUGGUGGGUGCCUGAACUUUAGGACUGAGGAGGGAUUGGAAAGUGUCAAAGAGUUUUUUUGGGUUGUUGGACAGUGAGGAGAUUAGAGUGGUGAAGUAAGUCUGUUUAGCCAGGUUGAGGGCAGAGUUAUAGGUCCGUAGCAUGAACUUGUAAUGGAGGAAAUUCUCGGGUGUGCGAGUUUUCCUCCAUAGGUGUUCAGCAUGUAAGCCAGGGUUGCUUUGGUCUGUGUUUGAAGGUUCUGAGGGUAGGGGCGCUACUUUGUCCAGGGGGCUUCUUAGGGUGUCAUUGUAGUGAUUUACAGCCUUAUCGGGGCAGGAAAGGGAAGAGAUUGGGGACAAUGAUGCAUGUAGAGUGUCUGUAAGUGUAUGAGGGUCGAUGGCCUGUAGGUUUCUGUGCAUGUAAUAGGUAGGGGAGUGCUGGGAUGGAUGCAGAUUUGUGAGUGAAAGAAGGUUUUUCCACCAACACAGAAGGAGGAGUCUUUACUGUAAGAGCAGCGAGUAUAUGGAGCUCUCUGCCAGUGGACGGGGGUCAUGGGGGAUUCUCUAGAAGUGUGCAGAAGGGGCCUGGUGGUCUAGAGGGUAAUGAUAUUCCAGCUUCUAGUGAUCCAGGGAGGGAUUCUGACUUUAGAUCUGGAGUCAAUGUUUCUCUACAUCCACAGGAUUAUACCAUAGUGAAGAAGACAUUGGGGGGGACUCCCAUCAUCCACGGGUCAGGAGGGUGGAGCAGGACCUCCAUCUCAGAGCCUCGCCCCCUGGUACAUGAGCAGAAGAUCCUAGAACUUACCCACAAGAUGAUGGAGCUGCUGACUGGAGAGGUUCCUGUAAGGUGUCAGGAGGUGGCGGUCUAUUUCUCCAUGGAGGAGUGGGAGUACAUAGAAGGACACAAAGAUCUGUACAAGGAGGCCAUGAUGGAGGCUCCCCGGCCUCUGACAUCACCAGAUGGAUCCAGGAGGAGAAAUCCCCCCAAGAGAUGUCCCCGUCCUCUGUAUUCCCAGGACU